UAAUAAGGAGAACUUCAAAAUUCAAUUUAAAUACAUUUUAUAUGAUAGAAACAAAUAAUAAACUCAAGACGUACAAGUCAUGAAAAAUACGAAUAAAUCAAAUCCUACCGACUCUUGAUAGAUAAAAGUCAAGCCUUCAAUUCUUUUUAGCAUUGGAUUAAAGUUUAAAAAAUCAUGGGUCGUACAGAGAAAAUAUAAACAAUAAAAAUCAAAAUGUGAAAAUUACUUACAUUGGAAGAUCAGAGUAAAAUAAAACUGGCAAAAUAUGGCAAGCACUAAGGUUAAAUUCUAAAUGAAAUUUAUAUUUUUAACGAAAAACUGCUAUUUAGAAUAAUGAACUUAGUGUAAUGUUUGGUUUAUUGUUAUGAACUGGCUUCAUUAACUAUCGGAUCGAUAUGGACUUUUAUAUUAUCAUUAUUAAUAUAAACCUGUAUAUUAUCAUUAGUCACUGCAUAAAUAGGAAUAAAUCGUUUUCGUUAAAUUUACAUUUUUAUUUCUAGAAAUUGUGACACGUGAGAAACACCUAAUCUAUCAAUAAUACUAUUACGACAUUAUUUGGUAAACAUGCCUCUAUAUUAACUUGGUUUUUUUUAAAUCUAAAUUAAUACCAUAAAUCAUGGACGGAAAAAAAAGAAACAUUUUGUUUUAUAGAUUUUAUUAAUAAAUAUAUAAAUAUUUAAAGUUAAGAAUUGAAAACAAGAAACAUUUUAUGAAUACAAUUCAUUUAAAUAUUCAUUUAAAACGAGUAUCACGACCUUGCAGUUCACAUUGGACAAAUUUUCUUGCAAGCGCAUACUUUCUAUUAAUCGAGUAAAACAAAUAAGAGAACCCACAUUUAUUUCCAUCAUAAUCUCUUAGAAACUAGAUACUAGAAAAAUAUGUUCAACCAUCCUUCAAAAUAAGCAAAUUAAACAUACGAUCGAGAUAAAUAUUUUUGCAAUUAAUCUACAACGCUGUUUGAUAUAUUUUUUCUAAAAAAAUAUUCGGUACGUGUAUCAAUUGGAAAUUUUAACAUACCAAAAAUUAAAACAAGUAAUGACAUUCGAUGCUUUUCCCGUUUCUAAAGCUUGCAUACUUCGAUCAAUGUAAAAAGGUGAUUAUAAAUGAAAACAUAUGUUAAUCCAGCCUUACCAUUAUAUUAACAAUUCUUCUUGAUGUUGAAAUUGCCAUUUUUUAUUGGAGUAAUUAAUCGGACUGAUAAUUAUUUAUAUUUCAGGUUAUAGGUACGCAAACGGGCGAUUACACAUUUGGCAAAACCUCAAUUUCCUCAAUAUUGGAGACGAAAUGGGCUUCAGGAGUAAAAAAAAAUCAAAUGUGGUAUCGUUGAUGAGCAUUUUAUAGGCACAUUCUGAACAAUAAAUCAAUAUUGAAUAGAUAUAGUGAAAAUUUGAAACCACUUUGUAAGUACUUUUCAUGAAUCAAUAUAAUCAUUUUGAAGAAAGAAAAAAAGGUUUUUGUUAUCCCCUUCUCAUUGUAACUAUCGGCGUAUCAUGUUACUUUGACUUUUUAAGACGUCAGUAGUUGAAACAUUAAUUGAGCAUCUGUACCUGAGCAUUUUUGUCACCAACUAUUAAUAUUAAUAUCAUUGUUAUGUACAACCUUAACACUUGCAAGAAAAUUCAUACAAAGAAAGCAGUCACGGUAAAACGAUAUCUUGUCAAAUUUAGAUCUUGGCAUACAGCACGUACUUUAAACAAUGGCUUCACAAGAUUUUUGACCGUUUCAAGCUGAAUGGUUUUAUUUUGAAAACGGCGAAGAAUAUAUAAAAAAAAUGAAAAUAAAACGACAAUAUUCAUUUGUAUAUUGAUUUCAGUCAAACAACAAUUCCAUUAGUUAUAAAAUAAUAUAAGCUAAAAAAA
rnacentral:lncRNA from 1 species